CCCUUAGAUGUUCUGGGCUGCACGCGUGCUACAAUGGCGUUUCCAGCAAGUCUGCGAACCCGAGAGGGCCAGCGGACCUUCGAAUUGGCGUCGUGAUCGGGACAGUCGAUUGCAAUUAUUUGACUCAAACGAGGAAUUCCUUGUAAUCGCGAUUCAUCAUAUCGCGCUGAAUACGUCCCUGCCCUUUGUACACACCGCCCGUCGCUCCUACCGAUUGAGCGAUCCGGUAAAUGUUUUGGAUUGGUGCCGGGGCGGCUAGCUGCCGGUCGCUACGAAAUUUUGUGAACCUUAUCGCUUAGAGGAAGGAAAAGUCGUAACA
rnacentral:rRNA from 1 species